rnacentral:rRNA from 1 species
UACGUAGGUGGCAAGCGUUGUCCGGAUUUAUUGGGUUUAAAGGGUGCGUAGGCGGUCUUAUAAGUCAGUGCUGAAAUAUCCCGGCUUAACCGAGGAACUGCCUGUCAGACUGGGUUGCUUGAGACCGGGAGAGGCGAGUGGAAUUCCCAGUGUAGCGGUGAAAUGCGUAGAUAUUGGGAGGAACACCAGUGGCGAAGGCGGCUCGCUGGACCGGAACUGACGCUGAGGCGCGAAAGCGUGGGGAGCAAACAGG